AAAUCUCAACCUUCUCGGUUUCUUCUGGACACCGAAGGAGGCUUGGACUUUGGAGGCCUUUGCUGGCGUCUCUUUUGAAGGCCAGCUCCUCUCAAAUGAAUUAGCAGGGUCCUCUUUGCCGAUCCUCGACGUGUGAUAAGAUGUUUCCAUGUCUUGGCUUCUGGCUCUGUUGCCUUUGGGACCUGCUUCUAACCGUCUCGACCGAGACAAUGCUUGAGCGUGUCUCCCUUCUCGGGAAACACUCUCGAGCCCACGAAC
rnacentral:misc_RNA from 1 species